GAUGAACCCAAUAAAUUUCAUUCAUUCUACAUACUCAAUCCUAUAGACACCCUUUUAAUCCUUCAAUCACAGACGUAACUCGAUUUCACAAAACAGUCAAGAGUAAUCAAACCCACUUCAUUAAAAAAUCUCGAUUCACCAUUACAACAUUGACUUCAGCAACGAUUGCCUCAAUCUUUUCAAAACUCUAUGAAGAAGAAAAAUCCAAUUCUCCGUCUUUUCUUCCCCGACCCGAAGCAUGAAGCUCCUCUCCAAUCCCCUUGAUCUUCAAAAACCUCCAAUGAAACCGAACUAGUAACCUUGCAAAGAGCUUGAAGCUA
rnacentral:lncRNA from 1 species